rnacentral:ribozyme from 14 species
AAAAGAACGGCGAAAGAAACAAAGAACGAAUAAAAGAAACCGAGAAAAUGGGUUCUCCACUUUAUUUCUCUCUCCUCUUUCUUUUAUUAUUCUCUCUGUAUGUAUGUAUAUAUAUAUAUAUAUAA